GACGAACGCUGGCGGCGUGCUUAACACAUGCAAGUCGAACGGAAAGGCCCUGCUUUUGUGGGGUGCUCGAGUGGCGAACGGGUGAGUAACACGUGAGUAACCUGCCCUUGACUUUGGGAUAACUUCAGGAAACUGGGGCUAAUACCGGAUAGGAGCUCCUGCUGCAUGGUGGGGGUUGGAAAGUUUCGGCGGUUGGGGAUGGACUCGCGGCUUAUCAGCUUGUUGGUGGGGUAGUGGCUUACCAAGGCUUUGACGGGUAGCCGGCCUGAGAGGGUGACCGGCAACAUUGGGACUGAAAUACGGCCCAGACUCCUACGGGAGGCAGCAGUGGGGAUUAUUGCACAAUGGGCGGAAGCCUGAUGCAGCAACGCCGCGUGCGGGAUGACGGCCUUCGGGUUGUAAACCGCUUUCGCCUGUGACGAAGCGUGAGUGACGGUAAUGGGUAUAGAAGCACCGGCUAACUACGUG
rnacentral:rRNA from 1 species